rnacentral:rRNA from 1 species
AGAGUUUGAUCCUAGCUCAGGAUGAACGCUGGCGGCGUGGAUAAGGCAUGCAAGUCGAACGAAUCGGUCCUUGGAAGUUUUGAAAGAGAUUUGAGUAGUAAUACAAGAGUCAAUUGAUAAAUGGAAAAGGUUUUCCGAUUAGUGGCAAACGGGGUAGUAACACGUGGGAACGUACCAAGAAGUCGUGAAUAAUGCAUCGAAAGGUGUACUAAUACACGAUGGUCCGGAAACGGUAAAGAUUUAUCGCUUCUUGAACGGCCUGCGGGGUAUCAGCUUGUUGGUAGUGUAAAAGACUACCAAGGCUAUGACGCCUAGGGGAGGUGAGAGCCUGACCCCCACCAUUGGAACUGCGACACGGUCCAAACACCUACGGGUGGCUGCAGUCGAGAAUCUUCCGCAAUGCACGAAAGUGUGACGGAGCGACGCCGCGUGAUGGAUGAAGCCCCUUGGGGUGUAAACAUCUUUUAUGUAUGAAGAAAUUAUUGACAUUAGUACAUGAAUAAGAGGCUCCUAACUCUGUGCCAGCAGGAGCGGUAAUACAGAGGCCUCGAGCGUUAUUCGGAAUUAUUGGGCGUAAAGGGUGCGUAGGUGGUUAUAUUAGUCGAAUUUCAAAGACCUGGGCUCAACCUGGGGAAGGGAUUCGAAACGGUAUGACUAGAGUCAGUGAGAGGUAUGCAGAACUCAUGGAGUAGGGGUGAAAUCCGUUGAUAUCAUGGGGAAUACCAAAUGCGAAGGCAGCAUACUGGCACUGUACUGACACUGAGGCACGAAAGCGUGGGUAGCGAAUGGGAUUAGAUACCCCAGUAGUCCACGCCCUAAACGAUGAUUUCUCGCUUUUCGGAGUAUCGACCCUCUGAGUGGCUAAGCUAACGCGUUAAGAAAUCCGCCUGGGAAGUACGGCCGCAAGGCUAAAACUCAAAGGAAUAGACGGGGACUUGCACAAGCAGUGGAUUAUGUGGUUUAAUUCGAUGGUAAACGAAGAACCUUA